UAGGGAAUAUUGCACAAUGGGGGAAACCCUGAUGCAGCGACGCCGCGUGAGUGAUGAAGGCCUUCGGGUCGUAAAGCUCUGUCGUAUGGGACUAACAAAAUGAAGGUACCAUGCAAGAAAGGAUCGGCUAACUUCGUGCUAGCAGCCGCGGUAAGACGAGGGAUCCUAGCGUUGUUCGGAAUCAUUGGGCGUAAAGCGGGUGUAGGCGGACUUAUAAGUCAGGUGUGAAAUCCCAGGGCUCAACCCUGGAAGUGCACUUGAUACUGCAAGUCUUGAGUGUGGUAGAGGCUAUUAGAAUUCCUGGUGUAGUGGUGAAAUACGUAGAUAUCAGGAGGAAUACCGGAGGCGAAGGCGAUUCUCUGGUCCGCUCCUGACACUGAGGCGCGAAAGCUAGGGGAGCAAACAGGAUUAGAUACCCCCGUAGUCCCUGAGCGGGCUGGCAAGGCGCAU
rnacentral:rRNA from 1 species